rnacentral:rRNA from 1 species
GACGAACGCUGGCGGCGUGCCUAAUACAUGCAAGUCGAGCGAAGUUUUUCUGGUGCUUGCACUAGAAAAACUUAGCGGCGAACGGGUGAGUAACACGUAAAGAACCUGCCUCAUAGACUGGGACAACUAUUGGAAACGAUAGCUAAUACCGGAUAACAGUAUUUCUCGCAUGAGAGAUAUUUAAAAGUUGGUUAUGCUAACACUAUGAGAUGGCUUUGCGGUGCAUUAGCUAGUUGGUGGGGUAAAGGCCCACCAAGGCGACGAUGCAUAGCCGACCUGAGAGGGUGAUCGGCCACACUGGGACUGAGACACGGCCCAGACUCCUACGGGAGGCAGCAGUGGGGAAUCUUCCGCAAUGGGCGAAAGCCUGACGGAGCAACGCCGCGUGAGUGAAGAAGGAUUUCGGUUCGUAAAGCUCUGUUGUUAGGGAAGAAUGGAUAUGUAGUAACUAUACAUGUAAGAGACGGUACCUAACCAGAAAGCCACGGCUAACGACGUG